rnacentral:rRNA from 1 species
UACGGGGGGUGCAAGCGUUGUUCGGAAUUACUGGGCGUAAAGGGCUCGUAGGCGGCCAACUAAGUCGGAUGUGAAAUCCCCAGGCUCAACUUGGGAACUGCACCCGAUACUGGAAGGCUUGAGACCGGGAGAGGUGAGUGGAAUUCCCAGUGUAGCGGUGAAAUGCGUAGAUAUUGGGAGGAACACCAGUGGCGAAGGCGGCUCACUGGACCGGAACUGACGCUGAGGCGCGAAAGCGUGGGGAGCAAACAGG